CGUUAUUCGGAAUUACUGGGCUUAAAGAGUUCGUAGGCGGCGCAGAAAGUAGGGUGUGAAAGCCCUCGGCUCAACCAUGGAAGUGCACCUGAAACUGCGCAGCUAGAGUCCUGGAGAGGAAGAUGGAAUACUUGGUGUAGAGGUGAAAUUCGUAGAUAUCAAGUGGAACACCGGUGGCGAAGGCGGUCUUCUGGACAGUGACUGACGCUGAGACGCGAAGGCGUGGGGAGCAAACAGG
rnacentral:rRNA from 1 species